rnacentral:rRNA from 1 species
GGCUCAGGAUGAACGCUAGCGGCAGGCUUAACACAUGCAAGUCGAGGGGUAUAGUUCUUACGGAAUUAGAGACCGGCGCACGGGUGCGUAACGCGUAUGCAAUCUACCUUUCACAGAGGGAUAGCCCAGAGAAAAUUUGGAUUAAUACCUCAUAGUAUAGCAGUUUCGCAUGAAACCACUAUUAAAGUCACAACGGUGAAAGAUGAGCAUGCGUCCCAUUAGCUAGUUGGUAAGGUAACGGCUUACCAAGGCAACGAUGGGUAGGGGGUCCUGAGAGGGAGAUCCCCCACACUGGUACUGAGACACGGACCAGACUCCUACGGGAGGCAGCAGUGAGGAAUAUUGGACAAUGGGCGCAAGCCUGAUCCAGCCAUGCCGCGUGCAGGAUGACGGUCCUAUGGAUUGUAAACUGCUUUUAUACAGGAAGAAACACUACUUCGUGAAGUAGCUUGACGGUACUGUAAGAAUAAGGAUCGGCUAACUCCGUG